AGGUGGGAUCAAAUGCAUUGGAAAGCUUACGAUGUCCACUUCAAAUGUUAUGUUGAACAAAAUUUCAAAAUCUCAAAGGAAAUACAUGUGAUAAUGCAAGACAUUAUAGGUCCUUUUUGACCAAAGGCAUUAAAAGGCAAAAAAGUCCAACUUGAAGUGCCCAUAACUUCUUCAUAAAAAAUCCAAAUGAUGCAAAAUAUAAGUCCAUUUUGAUUGUCU
rnacentral:lncRNA from 1 species